CCUACGGGAGGCAGCAGUGGGGAAUAUUGGGCAAUGGGCGCAAGCCUGACCCAGCAACGCCGCGUGAAGGAAGAAGGCUUUCGGGUUGUAAACUUCUUUUGGCAGGGAAGAGAAGAAGACGGGACGGGACGAAUAAGACACGGCUAACUCCGUGCCAGCAGCCGCGGUAAUACGUAGGUGGCAAGCGUUGUCCGGAUUUACUGGGUGUAAAGGGCGUGUAGCCGGGGUGACAAGUCAGAUGUGAAAUCCUGCGGCUUAACCGCAGAACUGCAUUUGAAACUUUUGAUCUUGAGUACUGGAGAGGCAGUCGGACUUCCUCGUGUCGCGGUGAAAUGCGUAGAUAU
rnacentral:rRNA from 1 species